GGGUCUUCGGGCUCAUCGUGCGCUUACCCCAGUGGACUUGAGGGACGCAUACAGAUUUCUGUGUGUUUCGCUCCGUUACUUUGAGCAAAUUGGAGUGCUCCAACCAGGCUUACGCUUGAACAGCUCAGCAUGGAAUAACAAGAUAGGACUUUGGUUCUUCUUGUUGGUGUCAUGAACCAAAAGUAAUGGUUGAUAAGGACAUACGGGGGCAUUUGUACUUGCUGGAGAGAGGUGAAAUUCUAAGACCCAGCAAAGACAAACAACUGCGAAAGCAUUUGUCCAGUAUGCACCUGUUAAUCAAGGACGAAAGUUGGGGGAUCGAAGACGAUUAGAUACCGUCGUAGUCCCAACUAUAAACUAUGCCGACUGAGGAUCGGAGGGCGUAACAAUGCGACUCCUUCGGCACUCCAAGAGAAAUCUAAGUCUCUGGGCCCUGGGGGGAGUAUGGUCGCAAGGCUGAAACUUAAAGGAAUUGACGGAAGGGCACCACCAGGAGUGGAGCCUGCGGCUUAAUUUGAGUCAACGCGGGGAACCUCACCAGGCCCGGACAUAGUCAUGAUUGACAGAUUGAGAGUUCUUUCUCGAUUCUAUGGGUGGUGGUGCAUGGCCGUUCUUAGUCGGUGAGGUGACUUGUCUGGUUAAUUCCGAUAACGGACGAGACCUCGACCUGCUAAAUAGCAAGGAUUUACAUUCCGUAAGUUCUUGGCUUCUUAGAGGGACUUUGU
rnacentral:rRNA from 1 species